AUUGAUCACUCACAAUCUCCAUGCACACUUCACUAUAUCUAGAACACCCCAUACAAGGAUCAGAGAAUCAAGUUAGGUAGUGAACUAAAAUAUGAAUCCAUAUACACAAGGUACCAUGGUGACCUCAGGUCAAAGGAUCACUUACAUAACUUCCACUAGAGAAUUAUCAGUUGACAUGUAAAUAAGACUCCAUCUGAUCAUUCUCUCAUGGGUUAACUCAGUAAACUCAUUCUCUAAUGAACACCC
rnacentral:lncRNA from 1 species